rnacentral:rRNA from 1 species
UACGGAGGGGGCUAGCGUUGUUCGGAAUUACUGGGCGUAAAGCGCACGUAGGCGGCUUUGUAAGUUAGAGGUGAAAGCCCGGGGCUCAACUCCGGAAUUGCCUUUAAGACUGCAUCGCUAGAAUUGUGGAGAGUAAGUGGAAUUCCGAGUGUAGAGGUGAAAUUCGUAGAUAUUCGGAAGAACACCAGUGGCGAAGGCGCA